GAAGCUGACCUCGAUCAG
rnacentral:rRNA from 1 species